AGGCCCGUCGGAAACCGAACCGAACCGGUCUAACAAUAUAUUUUAUUUUUAUUUUUAUAAUAUCACUAUAUUGAUUAGGGUUUGAGUCAUGAGCCAGAAUAUAUAUUGUUACAUUCUUCUUCUUCCCAAGCCAAAGUCGCCUCCACUCUCAGUCUCUCUUCUCUACUUCUUCACACAGUUUCUCUUCUUCAUUUCUUCAGUCUCCACUCUCUACUUUCAUCUCUCUCACAUACUCUAGAUAUGUGUUUGAAUCUGUGUAAUAAUCAUCUACCAAACUCAAACCUUAUCCCCAAAUCACAGAAAGGAGAUACACAGCGACUUUGCCCUUUGCAGUUUCCCUCUCCACCAUUUUUAGUCACUCUUAAACAAUCUUUUAUAUUCUCACACUAACAUACCAUUUUAAUUUUUGGAACCCAAACCCUAAACCCCAAAUUUUUGUUAAAGUUCAUUUAAAGUUGCUAAUACAAUGAAUCUCACAUGACAGGACAUGCUUAUCACUUGAAUACUCAAAAAGGUUGAAAGAUAAUAAAAGUUUUCAUGGAUGAUAUAAUAAUGAAGAACCAAUGAAUUCUUGAAACAUCCUAGAGGUAAAACUUUGUUUUUGUCUUUCAGAUAAUCAAAAUAUUGGUGUAUAUUGUUUUUGAAUCAUAAUUUCUAAUCAUCCUUGUAGAUCCCUCCAUUGACAACAACAAUACUGCAGGGAUUAAAGUAAAAAUCCAUACCAUGAGCAAAAAUGUAUACCAAGAGUUUGUCUAUUAUUUACUAUGAUUAUAAAUAUGCUAAGUUUCUAUUUGUUAAUAUCAUAGAAAUAUUAUGUAAGUGUUUGAUAUAUUAAGUUUCUAUCUUUUUCUCCAUAGAACUUAUGAACAGGUAGAAGCAAGGAAGGGGUUUUACUUAGAGCAAUUAACAAGAUCAUUUAAAUUAUCUUUUUCUACAUGGAACUUAUGAACAGGUAGAACAGGUAGAAGUAAGGAAGGAGUUCCACUUAGAGCAAUGAACAAGAUCAUUUAAAUUUUUUAAGAUCUUAGUAUUUGUGUUUAUGUGAUUUUUAAUUUUUUUUGAAGGACUUGAAAGGACUGCAUUUUAUUGAUGUAUUGUGUUAUAGUUUUUUAUUUGUCUUCAUGUUGAAUCUGUUUCUGUUUGGUGUAUCUUACUAUUAAGUGA